AUUGAACGCUGGCGGCAGGCCUAACACAUGCAAGUCGAGCGGUAACAGGGAUAGCUUGCUAUCUGCUGACGAGCGGCGGACGGGUGCGUAACACGUAGGAAUCUACCCAGUAGCGGGGGAUAGCCCGGAGAAAUCCGGAUUAAUACCGCAUACGCCCUACGGGGGAAAGCAGGGGAUUCUUUCUUUGGAGAGAACCUUGCACUAUUGGAUGAGCCUGCGUCGGAUUAGCUGGUUGGUGGGGUAAAGGCCUACCAAGGCAACGAUCCGUAGCUGGUCUGAGAGGAUGAUCAGCCACACUGGGACUGAGACACGGCCCAGACUCCUACGGGAGGCAGCAGUGGGGAAUAUUGCACAAUGGGCGCAAGCCUGAUGCAGCCAUGCCGCGUGUGUGAAGAAGGCUCUAGGGUUGUAAAGCACUUUCAGCGAGGAGGAAGGUUGUAGUUAUACCUUGCAGCUGUGACGUUACUCGCAGAAGGAGCACCGGC
rnacentral:rRNA from 1 species